rnacentral:rRNA from 1 species
AAGCCUGAGAGACGGCUACUACAUCUAAGGAAGGCAGCAGGCGCGCAAAUUUCCCAAUGCUCAUCGAGCGAGGAAGUGACGAUCAAUAAUAAUGUGCGGGGUUUACCUUGCACAGUAGAAUGAGUAGAACGUACAAGCGUUUUCCAUGAUCAAUUGGAGGGCAAGUCUGGUGCCAGCAGCCGCGGUAAUUCCAGCUCCAAUAGGAUAUAUCAAAGUUGUUGCAGUUGAAAAGCUCGUAGUCGUAUUUCUGGUGGGUUUGAUGUUUUGCCGGUUUUGGGGCGCAAGCUCUUGCUGGUUUGAACCGCCUGCCAUUUUGUGGGCUCAAGUGGUCUUGUCGGGGUUUACUCACCGAUUUGAUCGCUCCACUCCGUCACUGAGAGCAAAUUGGAGUGCUCAAAGCAGGCUUUACAGCUUUGAACAUUUUAGCUUGGAAUGACAAAGAAUGACUUUUUGUUCACUUUGUUGGUUAUGAAUGGGAAGUAAUGAUAAAUAGGAACAGUUGCGGGGG